AUACGUAGGGUGCGAGCGUUGUCCGGAAUUACUGGGCGUAAAGAGCUAGUAGGUGGUUUGUCGCGUCGUCUGUGAAAUUCCGGGGCUUAACUCCGGGCGUGCAGGCGAUACGGGCAUAACUAGUACUGUAGGGGAGACUGGAAUUCCUGGUGUAGCGGUGAAAUGCGCAGAUAUCAGGAGGAACACCGGUGGCGAAGGCGGGUCUCUGGGCAGUAACUGACGCUGAGGAGCGAAAGCAUGGGUAGCGAACAGGAUUAGAUCCCCAGGUAGUCCAUGCCGUAAACGGUGGGCGCUAGGUGUAGGGGUCUUCCACGACUUCUGUGCCGUAGCUAACGCAUUAAGCGCCCCGCCUGGGGAGUACGGCCGCAAGGCUAAAACUCAAAGGAAUUGACGGGG
rnacentral:rRNA from 1 species